rnacentral:lncRNA from 1 species
CAGGAGCCUGGGGUGAUGCUCUGUUGUGUGCUGUGGGAGCCCACUUGGUCCUGAGGCUUUGUAAAUCAUGUUCAAGACCUCCUGAGAGGAAGGAUGGAGUUAGAGGUUGGUGUUACACAUACCCAUCAGCUGAACUGCAGCCCAAUGAAAUGAGAACAACAGUAGACACAUUCCAUCCUCCUGAAAAAUUCAUGCUUGUUCUGGGAAUUUCUCUGGCCUCAAGGCAGCAC